ACACACAAUCGACCUUCACUUUUCAGUUGCACGAUCACUACCAGGCAGGUCCCGGAAGCCUGCCUUCUCUGCCUUACCUCAAACGCUUGACACACCAACUACACCAUAUUGCUAGAAUGGGCCAUCCUCUUCACAAAAGAACAUGAGCACCCAAAGUUAGCCCCAGUCUGCAGAGGCACACAGGGAUUGACCUAGUUUGGAAAACCUAUAGCUUUUCCUAAGCUUUCCUUACUCAGCUCAACACUCAAGAAUUUCUGCUUGCUGCCUUGCUUGUUGGCUUGUCUGCUUGUUCCCCCGCUUGUUCCCGUGCUUGCUCCCCUGGUUGCUUCCUUUCUUCUUUCCUUCCUUCCUUCCUUCCUUCCUCCCUUCCUUCCUUCCUUCCUUUCUUCCUUCAUUCCACGUUUGCUUGCUUGCUUGCUUGCUUGCUUGCUUAGUUUCCUUCAAGACCCAAAGGUCUUGACCUGUCUUCUCUGGUUGCAUUUUCAGUUCAGCCUGUCACCAAGAAAAAGUCACUCGUUGCCAGUGCGGACAUGCUCUGAUAAGGAGGAGGAAGCCAGUUGUGUGUAUGUCUGCUCUUCUGCAGUAGCCUUGCCUAGAGAUGAGUGGGUGGACAAAUGAUGUGUUGAUAGAAGGAACAAAGGAGGAGGAGGAGGAGCAGAAAGAGGACGAGGAGGACGAGGAGGAGGAGGAAAAGGAGAAGGAGGAAGAGGAGGAAGAUGAGGCCUGUGGAGAAGAGAGACCAGGGUCCUAAGGCCAGUCUGUAGAGGGCCCGAGGUCUUUGGGCUUCCAGCAGGAGACAGAUCAUCAGCUGCCGUGCGUCUCUUCUUUUGUGGAAGUCUCGUUGUCCGGGUCAUCUGGCUAAUCACCUAUCCUCUAUUCCGACACUCCUGGUGGAAAGAUUUACUCCUUAUUCCUAGCCGUGUCUCCUGGCGGUGCACACUGAGCCCUAUGGCCACAGGCUUAGAUGACAAGAUCCAGGAAGUCAGGCCCAGCCUUGAAAGGAUGCUCUCUUUGAGCAUGAACUUGUCCCAGGCCUAAUUUUGCUGCUACUAUGAUUAUGUGCUUAUAAGGCAUGGAAGCUCACUCACUAUCCUCCUUCUCUCAACAAUGUAGCUCUUGCCGUUUACUGAGGAAAGGCUACAUUCUAUUCUCCAUCCUGACUUUAGACUUUCUGUACCAAAUGACAAAUGAGAGAAAGUGAGAGAGACAGAGUGAGAGAGAGAGACAGAGAGAGAGGGGGAGGCAGAGAGAGAGAGAGAGGUUAUGUGAAAGCUGCAGGAAGGAAAAUUCUUACACACAAAGCUUAAAUUUUUAUACAGAAGUUUUAAAGUAGACAAAAUAAAGUCAUAAUCAUUUCACUAAUGUUCUAGUAUUAUACAGAAAUGAAAUACAGCAAACUUAAGAUUAAAAGUGUGGAGUGGUAUGCUAGCCAAGCCUGAAAACCUAAGUUUGUUUUUUAGAGCCCACAUGAUUGAAGGAGAAAAUUGACUCCUUCAGGUUAUCCUCUGAACUCCACAUUCACUUCAUGGCAUAUGUGUAUGGACACACCCAAACAAAUAAUAUAAAUAGCAAAGAAUGAGGUAAUGGAUGCCAGAAACUGGCAGAGGUUGUAAAACUAGUUAAUGUUCAAUAAGAGGCAUACAUAUUAAGUCUGUAUUGACUCUAGUUAACAAUCCAUUUUUGCAGUUACAGGGAAAAAGAAAACACGUUUGAAAGUGAUGACUGCUUUUCUCUGGUGCAAUGACUCCACAAUGUACUCAUGGGUUGAAAUUCCAAAUUGUAUCCCAUCCUCUAACUUGUCUUGUUUUGCAAAAAAUAAUUUUAAUAAACACAGUUUUAUAUUGUAUCCUGUUGUUCUCUUUCCCUUUAGGUAGUGUAUUUGAGGAUGAAGGUGAUGCUGAUCUCGUGUUGUCUAGAAUGGUGUGGAAGGAACUCCCAGACUUAAGAGCUCUUUUCUCUGCAGCCUCCCAGGACUUAAGCCCCAUGCACCGAAGUACCUGACUACCAACAUGAAUUAUGUGUUUAGUUGAUAGCGUGGAUAUUUAGGAGAGAAAUCAUUCAUUAGCUGUUUCAAAAGCACUUCACAGACUGGCAAGAUGGAUCAGCAGGGAAAGGCAUCGUUUGGUCUGCAAGCCUCGCAAGCUGAGUUUAAUCCCUAGAGCUCACAGAACUGCAGAAGAGAACCAACUUCUCACAGUUGUCCAUCUGCAUGCUGUGGCCCUCCUCCAUAAUAAUAAAUUUAAAAAUACAAUAAAUGAAUGAAUAAAUAAAUAAAUAAAUAAAUAAAAGCAAUCUGUGGACUAGUGACAUAGUACAGUGGCCUAGUGUGUAAAAAUGCUCCGAAAGCCUGACAUCUUAGAUUUGAUCUUGGAAAGAAGAGAACUAACUCCUGAAAGUUGUCCUCUGAUUUCUACAUGUGGGCCCUGAAAACACACACACACACUUUAAAAGUACAAAUAGAAAUAAGCAGCCCCUGUAAGGCUAAUGAAAUUAGUACAAUUGUGUAUCCAUCACUGAAAAUGUUAUAUUCUACCUGAGUACAUAUACAAAUUAGAAAACAAAGUGUGACAUGUUAACUCUACUAACAAAAGGGAAAACAGGUCUUUUUGUUUGCUUGUUUGUUUGUUUGUUUGUUUGUUUCCAGAACAGAGAUGCCAACGGAAGAGAAUCUAGCCCCAUGGAACUCUAUUUAAACUAGAACUUCUCUUUUAGUUAGGGCCAAAGAGGUACACUCAGCAAGACACCAUCAUAGACAAAGGAAGAGAAUCAAAGGGGGAGAUCACCAGAAGAGGUGCUCUCUGAUGUGAAUGGUACUUCUUUUGAUGUCUCUAAUAGCACCAGAAUCAAUACCUGGCAUAAAGACCUCUUCCCAGAAACCAGACCUCAAAUCUAGGAGGAGCUUUGGUAACAUUGCCGUUGAGCACACGGUCAAACUGCUAUGUGUUACUAGGGUUUUCUUUUCCUUUUCUUUUCCUUUUUUUUUUCUUUUUAAUCAGGCAUAAAGACAAAACUGUUCAUUUGUUUCUUUAAAUUUGCCCUUAUUUAGAUUUGGCCAAAUUUAAUUGUUCUGAUCAUUUUCCCGAUCCUUAUGGAAAUUGCACGAGCAUUGCAAGAGUUUCAUGUUUUGUAUGUUUUCUAAAUUUGCCAAUUUGACAUAUUAUUUGAAUAAAGGUGAAAUUGUAUCACAA